rnacentral:misc_RNA from 1 species
UGUAUAAGAGACAGGUGAGUCAUCGAAUCUUUGAACGCACAUUGCGCCCUAUGGUAUUCCGUAGGGCAUGCCUGUUCGAGCGUCAUUCAAACCUUCAAGCUCUGCUUGGUGUUGGGCGUCUGUCCUGCCUCACGGCGCGGACUCGCCUCAAAUCUAUUGGCGGCCGGCACGUUGGCUUCGAGCGCAGCAGAAACGCGAACUCGGGCCCGACGGAUCGGCUCCCAGAAGCUACCCCCAUGAAUUUGACCUCGGAUCAGGUAGGGAUACCCGCUGAACUUAAGCAUAUCAAUAAGCGGAGGA